rnacentral:piRNA from 1 species
UUUCAAGGGUCUUCUAAAGAAUUCUGGUCUC